ACUCACCUGUGGGUAAAACCUGGCAGACAUCUCACCUCAGCCAGGCCAGAACUCCUGUUGUGGUUUUAGGGUCCCUGAGAGCUUCAGCCUCUGUCCUCGUUUGACAGUCAUGAGGCAGAUGAGGGAUCUUCGGACUGUGUCUUACACAGCAGAAACAUGACAAGCAAUUCCCCGAUGUGGAACCUAGAUGAGAUCAACUUCUUGGCACUGUGGGAUCUUGCAAGAGUCUUUGAAUUAGUGGAACUAGUUGACCAUGGUACCUACAAGCAUCAAUUUUUGCUUCUAGUCAGAGAAGAGGAAGAAGUGAGGACACAUGAGGGAAAGAAACAUGGCAGCACCAAGUUCAUCCUUUCUGAGAAAUGAAGGUCUGAAUAAGACCUGUGUGGGCAGGAGCUCUUCCAUUCCAGUUUAAAAACAUGCCAGGAAAUCAAGCAGUUGGCAGAUUUCCCAUUUCCCUUCAAGAACAUCCCAGGAUAAACCAGCUAACAGAUGAAACUGGUGGAGAAAAAAAAAAAAAAAAGUGUUGCUGCUUGUAGCUGUGGUCUUUGGAGUGGCUCUGCUUUGUGACUUGAAGUAUUGCUGAUUGCAAGAGCAGGAAGGAGGGAAAUGUGCAAAAUGAGAUGGCUUGAUAAAACAAGGAUAAAUUAAAUCAAGGAAAAAAGACAUGGAAGAGUGCUAGAGGGCACCACAAAGGACAUCACAGAAUAAUCCCUGCAUCAGCUGGUCCAGACUUUCCUGUAGGAUAAAGAAGAGUGAACAAUUAAAGUUUGAAUUAUCCACAACAAUGCAAUUGGAGUAUGAGUCUCGAUGUGCGGAAUGCCAAGCAGAUAUAUAUAUCUGCACUACAAGACAAGAGAUCAAGAGAUGGUUCUGAACCCAGCAGGAAAAAGUCCAGGCAUAUUUAAAAACUACAUGCUCAGCUGGGGAAGGAACCUGAUCCAAGAACACUUCUUUGAGGUAUGUGAAGGGAGAAAUAAGAAGUGGCAGUAUUUACUGACUCAAGCAAACUUUUAAUUUUGAAAAAAGAAUGAAAGAUUCCGUAUCACUUCAUGUUUGCAAUUCAAAACGUUUCCUUCUUGACAGUUAUGAUUUUCUUGCUGUAAAGUUCUAUAGUCUCCUUUCAUGUUUUAUUUUCUUUAAUUGUAGAUUUUUUGUUGUUUUUUAAGAAAUCAAAAAUAACAGACAGUGUAAAACUACUUUCAGUUCAGAGGAAUGGUGAGUAGGUAAAUUCAGUAUAAUCUGAAAAAAAAGGUAAUUGUAAUUGUAAUUGUAAUUUUUAUUUUUAUUUUUAUUUUUAUUUUUAUUUUUAUUUUUAUUUUUAUUUUUAUUUUUAUUUUUAUUUUUAUUUUUAUUUUUAUUUUUAUUUUUAUUUUCAUUUAUAUAUUUCUGGCCAGUGGCAAGAUUGUUAUGAGAUAACAAGAGGGAGAACUCUGUUAUACCAUGAGACCCAAUAUCUAUAUCUGUUGGAGUCUAGAACAUCCCUCUGGCCACCCUGGAGGGUUUGGAGACCAGACAGGGGGGUCUGGGAUCUGUACAGGGGGGUCAGUUAGACCCACACAGAUCCCAGGAGGACACUGACUCUGAUUCCUGUCCAUGGGAGUGAACACUCACAUGCAGGAAGAAUCACAAAUCCUAAGAAUUUAAAAUAAGUAGUGGAUGGUUUAUUAUAGAAUAUAAAUAUAGAAAUUAGGAUUCUUAGCAUAUGGGGCUGAAGAGACAAGAUGGAGGAAUUGGGGAGUGGCCCCUGUCCUCCUUGUUCUUGCUCUCGUCCCCCAUCCUGUGCUGAGUUGGGUUUUAGAGAUUGGUUUAGAGUAGAACUGACAUGUUAGUACAGGUAAUAGGUACUGGUGAAAUUUUGUAAAUAAAAAAUACGUCUCGGACAGUGGUUGGGUCAGGGGUACUGUACAUAAGGUGUGGGGCUCUCUGAUCCGCCCAGUCUGCCACGUGUCCUGCUCUGCUGGGGAUGCCUCACAGAGCUGAGAAAGAACUAAGAUAAGGUACCCUGCCAGGGAGGCCUGGCAGAGCUGAGAAAGGACUGAGAUAAUGAAGAAUAAACAACCUUGGAAAUGUGCACCGGCAGACUCCGUUUGUCGUCUCUACCUCUGGUGUGAAACACUUAGGGCAAAGAGAAGACUGAAAACCUUAUUACCCCUGGGAACAGCAACCCAGAAGGAACUCCCAGGGAACAGCAACCUUGGGAGAACCCUUAGUACCUUGGGGGUCAGCAACCCCAAGGAGAAUCUCAAGGAAACAGCAACCUUGAGACAUAUCCAAAUCACUGAAGUCUGUUUUGCCCCCCUGGAAGAACCCUAUUUCCUUAGUUUUCUACUAGGCUGCUGUGGGGAAAAAAAAAAAAAAAAAAAAAAAAAAAAAAAAAAAAAAAAAAAAAAAAAAAAAAAAAGAAAAAAAAAAAAAGAAA